GUAUGAUGAUUAAUGUUCGCAAUCCAUCAGAACAGUGAAGAAUGUCCCAAUUAACCUGAAAAUUUCUGACUUAGAUUAUCAUAAGAAGCUAACGUGGGACCAGUGUUGAAGAAUAUGAAAGAAGAUGUUUGGAGUCCAAAAAACACAGAGACUGUUCCACAGAAGAAAGUAAGUCAUUCAGAUAAAUUUUGAUGCAGCAGUGUAUCCAUAUAUCUACUUUGCUUUUGUGAGCCAUCACAUUUGGAGUGUCGCUGAAAAGUUGCCACCUGGACAACAAGAAGUAGAAGUCAUGAGAGGAAAAGAGGCCUGAACGUGCAGUGGAAAUUCUUCAGUCACUUCCUAUACUCUCAAAGGUGUGUUUAUCUGUCUAACCAUCCAGUCAGCCAGUCUAAGACCACCAGAGCUGCAACAACUGCAUCAACACUUCAAACGCCAACCCUGCCACUCUCUCUCUGUCUCUCUCCAUCUGUUUCACUCCGAGUGGCUGGCAGUUGGUUUUUGUCUCCUCUUUGAGACAGGGUUUUAAACAAAGGGCUCAGGUUAAACAGUAUCACAGAUGUCUGCUGAUGCUAUAGGUGAACGCACACAUGCUUUCAUUUACUUUACUGCUCUUGCUUUGCAAGAUUGCUUCAGUAUGGAU
ensembl:lncRNA